GACGAACGCUGGCGGCGUGCCUAAUACAUGCAAGUAGAACGCUGAAGGAGGAGCUUGCUUCUCUGGAUGAGUUGCGAACGGGUGAGUAACGCGUAGGUAACCUGCCUGGUAGCGGGGGAUAACUAUUGGAAACGAUAGCUAAUACCGCAUAAGAGUAGAUGUUGCAUGACAUUUACUUAAAAGGUGCAAUUGCAUCACUACCAGAUGGACCUGCGUUGUAUUAGCUAGUUGGUGAGGUAACGGCUCACCAAGGCAACGAUACAUAGCCGACCUGAGAGGGUGAUCGGCCACACUGGGACUGAGACACGGCCCAGACUCCUACGGGAGGCAGCAGUAGGGAAUCUUCGGCAAUGGACGGAAGUCUGACCGAGCAACGCCGCGUGAGUGAAGAAGGGUUUCGGAUCGUAAAGCUCUGUUGUAAGAGAAGAACGAGUGUGAGAGUGGAAAGUUCACACUGUGACGGUAUCUUACCAGAAAGGGACGGCUAACUACGUG
rnacentral:rRNA from 1 species